CUGCGGCUGCGGCCGCGCCGGGGGAACGUGAGGGAAAACACCCGGCUCCGGCGGUGCUGAACCCCGGAUCGCCUGAAACGCGUGUGCGAUCCGCGCGGAAACCGCCACUUCCCCCCAGAUCGCAUCCUCCCGUCGUGAAAUUUGGGCUCAGCCCCCCCCCCUCCCCCCCACGCGGGGUUUGGGGCUGUAAAGUUCCCGUUAGAAAUCGUGUCUUUAUGGUAGGAAGGCGGCUGUCGCUGGCCGCGAACCUGCCCCCGUGACUGACACGCUGGUACUGAUUUGGGUUUGAUCGAAUUGACUUUACACUGAUUUUAUUUGGCGUGCUGCAAAUGGCAUUGAGGCCGUGGUGCAGUCCGUGGCGAAGGCCACUCGGAACGCUUGAAAUGGGCAAGUUUGGAAAAUAAUGUCGUUGCUAUACCUUUUUAAUACUUUUAAUUCCCCCCUUCCACUCCUUUUUCUGCAGUCUUAAGCAUGGGAACUUUUACUUUCAAAAAACAUACGUAUCCUUUCUCUGGGUUCCUCUUUCAGUGGACGCCAAAUCCGGAGCAGCACGAGGUGAAGCGAGAGGGGUUGUUCUCAGUGCAGUUCCAGUCCCUUAGCACUGCAAAGGUGCUCUCCAGUUCUUCCUCGCUGGGAACACCAGUCAAAAGGAACCAGAGGAGUACGUUCCAAAGCAAUGGAAGUUGCCGUGUGUGUUGUGAGUAUUUCUGUUGCAGCACUAUGCCACUUCACAGCAAGAAGUCCUUCCAAGAUUUGAUCUUCUUUAUGCACACUUCAAUGUUUUUGUCAAAACUCUGCGCAUCUCGUGUCGGGGCUGUUGGAGUCCACUCUUCGGUAGCGGCACUUCCAGCUGUGCGUGUUCAGAAUAUUUACAGUUCUGUUGCAGAUGUUGACUACUGGUUUGUCACUCUGAUAAAUGUCCCACGAGCCCGUUCACAGGUUUUCCUGCUUCCAACACGUCAAAACCAAGCAUCACAUUAAAACCUCUUAUUAUCUUAGGCAGGUAAAAAGCAUCAGUUCUUGAAGAGUCACAAGAAAACCGAGAACCCCUCCCGAGGUCCUUGGCCCAAAGACUGGCCACGGGGGUCCAAGGGGAAGCAGCACGCGUUUCACAGUGCAAAGCCACACUUUGUGUUUCGGAGUAGGUGCCAGACAAGGGGAGAAGGUGAUGGUGUGUGUGGCUUGGGGAAAAAUUCGGGCAGUAGAGGCAAGCCUCUAGAGUUCUUCCUGCCUGUGAAAUGAAAUGUGAAUUGUUAUUCCCAGAAGAGAAGCAAAUUUAUAAAGGGUAAAAAAGCUACCACCUUUGUUGUUGAAAGUUUGUUGCUUCUGAGGAGCUGGAUAACAGUUUGGAGUCGCUUUCUGAAGCUACCUGCCCAAAGACGGCUUAUCAGUUUCUAUGAAGCUUGCUGCUAUCUCCUGUUCCUCCUGUUCCUCUGCACCCCGUGGCCUUUCUGUCACGUGUCGGUAGAAGUGUGCUGAGGUGUGGAGCUGGCAGAACUCAGGAACAAAAUAUGCAUCAGCUCAUCAGCAAGUUAAAGUAGCUUGGCAGACUACCAGGGGACAGGAGGCGUAGACGAGAGAGUUGAGAAGAAAACAUCUAGGCACACCCGGAUGCUCGGAGUUGGGUAAAUACCUGAAACGACCUGAAUGAGAUCGGAAAGGGCCAGAAUAUGGGAAGGAGGGGAAGAUGAUUGUCUCCGUGUGAGAGCUGAGAUCUGAAGUUUUUGCUUAUAUGUUUCGCAUUAUGGCCCUGCCCUUAUGUCUUACCUGUUGUGCUACAGACACUUAGCUUUUAUCCAGCUCUUUCAGUUAUUUGUCAUGGAGAUUUAUGGUUGUCCUUGCCUUGGAAAUUUACGCUGUGCUAACUGUAUUCAAACUGUCGUGUGAAUGGACAGUAACAUAGAUAUUUUCUACAUCCCAAUGCUUUUCUGCAAUCAGACAGAAAAUGAAGCUGACUGUUGGGAAUUACGAUGCAAUGCUAGUAGAUCCCGAGUCAUUCCAGGCAUCGUUCAGGUAGUACGUCUCAAAUCAAUACUGUUAAUCAGUGCAAAGUACGGACCAUGCUUUUUAGAAUUUUAUUUUUACUGUACGGUGGCAAGAACAUUGCCAGUUAGAAUGACUGUGUCAUUCAUAGGUUCUGUAUUUAUGCUGAUUCUGAUUUCUUUUGAACUAGGAAAUGGGCUAUCCUGUUACCCAUCCAGCAAAUUUAAAACCCAUAUGUUGUUUGAAACAAAUAUUGGUGUGGUUUAUUUUUUGAAGCAUUAUACUUUCUUUUUAAUACACGUUACUGACUGUAAUCCAUUGGAAUAUCAGCAGCUUUAGGAUAUUUGGUGUAGCAAAGCUGCUGGAGUCUAAGAAAAUCUUCCAGUCUUCUUUAGGAUCAGAUGUUAUAUGGAGCUCAUAGGGUACUUGUAAGCACUAAAUAAGAUUCAUAUGAUAGUCUUAGCCUAUAGUCUACCACACACUCAAAUAUGCAUUGCUUUGCUGAAGUAGCAUCUUAUGAUGAGUGUUGUUGAUGAGUGUUAACUUUUUAUGUGGCAUAAUUGUUAGUUUAGUGCUAAACUAUUGCAUUUCGUUAGCCAUUUUGAUAAAAGAAGAAAACGAUUUGCAAUAUUUGCAGUUUUGUAUAUCUGCUUUCUAGUUAGAGGCACGUAAUGUUCACUGUCUUAUUAUUUUCUGUGUGUCAUAGUGCUCUCUGCUGUCCUAGAUUUACAACUGCAACGUGAAAAUUUAAUACAGUGUUGUUGAUCCUUUGCUACUUGUCCCUGAGGCUCAAGGUUGUCUUUUUUUUAUCACUGGUUUCAAGCCCCUCCACUGAGAUACUGACCAUUUGUAGGUUUAACUUUAGUCAGAACAACAAAAUAAAUGCUUUGCAAUGCACA
ensembl:lncRNA